rnacentral:lncRNA from 1 species
AGCUUUAGGUGAUGAAUCUAUUACUUAUUAACAAGAGGUUAUGCUCACUUGUGUAAGUAGAAGGUGUGAAAGCUUUCUUCAUUUUUAAACACUAUGACCUACUAAAGAGGAAUGUAAAAAGAUAAAGACUGCUACAAAUGCCGCAUUUCAUGGAAUGAGGCCAACUGAGAACCACCAGAAGUGCAAAGACAUGAAUUCAUGGGGAGAUGGCAGAAAGAUGACACAGGAGAAACAGACUGUGGAACUGCCUACCCGAGCCUCCUACCUCCCUACAAAGCCACAUUUGGAGCUCCAAGGACACACCACACACAGAAGAUGCGCAGAGGAUUUUGUACAAAUAUGUGAUGGCUUGAAAUCUCCAUUUUUAAAAGGAACUUAAAGACUGUCUUCAGUUACUUGUAAGAGGUUGGUUUUGUUUAACUAAACCUGAAAUGGAUAGUAAUCGCUGCAUGGAUUUUACUUUCAAUGCUUCAUGAAGUUGCAAGUCAUCCUUGAGCAGGAGACAUGCCAGUCUUGGUCUCAUUCAGAGUUUAUUAUGUGUGCUGCUCGGUGAACACCACUGGAUGGAUUUUUAGUUCCUGGCCUAAAACAACAUACCUAUAAGCAUGCAGCUACUAGCUAUAGUUCUUGAUUUCUGUAUCAUGUGAGAUUCUUGUACUAAGCAUAAAAGAAUAGUAAGAAGCUUACUGUAAAUGUCUAUUAAGGAGGCCCUGGAUAACAGUCUCACCUGGAAAUCAUCUCUCCAUGAUGUAUCACUUCCUAAGUGAAGCAGGUGAUGACCUGAAGCAAGAGUUUGGACAGUGCCUCUUGACUCAACAGAGCAGAUGUUUCUUGGGGCUGUAUGAAUGCUCUGUGUUCUUUGCCUUUUCAUUCUGUCUGGGAUGGAGGAUCUUGAUAAUACUUUUCUAAGGUCCCAAGUGAGAGUGCCUACCUGAAAAGUACCAGGUGUGGAAGGAUGCCUUGAGUUCCUUAUAUUAGACCCUUUGAAAAGGAGGGAAUUACCCUGGCAUCCAAUUUCCCCAGCUGCCCUGGGUUUUGUUGUUCAAGUAUUCUAUGCAUUUCUUCUUCCAUCUGUAAAAUAGUAACUGUCUACUAUUUCUCAUUGAGAUUUGUUGCGAAACAGAGACUGAUUAUAGGUAAAAGUACUUUAUAAAAGUCAUCUGUGUUUGUGUUAACCAUCUAUUGAAAAAUGCAUUGAGUUUGUGUGCAUGCCACAGGCCUUUCAUCAUCUGCCCUGACAGGUGUACCUCUUCACCUUCUGUCUCUUCACCCUUGCUUCUACACACCGCCCCUCUAAGCACUUACAGCACCCACGUCUCUUCCCUCCUUGGGCUGUCCUGUGCCUUAGUGGUUGAGAGCUGAGGUGCAGCAUGGAGCCC